CCUACGGGAGGCUGCAGUAAGGAAUAUUGGACAAUGGGCGCAAGCCUGAUCCAGCCAUGCCGCGUGCAGGAUGACGGCCCUAUGGGUUGUAAACUGCUUUUAUACGGGAAAAAACCCCUCUACGUGUAGAGGGCUGAUGGUACCGUAAGAAUAAGGAUCGGCUAACUCCGUGCCAGCAGCCGCGGUAAUAAGGAGGAUCCCGGCGUUAUCCGGUUUUAUUGGGGCUAAGGGGUGCUUAUAAGGAUGUGUUGAAAUCCUGCAGCUUAACUGUAGAACUGCCAUUGAUACUGCAAGUCUUGAGUACAUAUGAUGUGGGCGGAAUGUGUAGUGUAGCGGUGAAAUGCUUAGAUAUUACACAGAACACCAAUUGCGAAGGCAGCUCACAAAACUGUAACUGACGCUGAGGCACGAAAGCGUGGGGAGUGAACAGGAUUAGAUACCCGAGUAGUC
rnacentral:rRNA from 1 species